AGUCACUAAGUUUGUGGUAAUUUGUUAUAGCAGCAGUAGAAACCCAAUACAUUUGGAAAAGGAGGAAAAAUCAAACUUAUACUUGAGCCAUGGCGAUACAUCAGUUAAUCCUGAGUGAGAAGUUCAGAGACCUGGAUUCUGGACACAACCUUGGGAAGUCACCUCUCUAGAUGUUUAUCUUCAUUGUUAAGGUUGUCUUCUUGCUCUAAAGUUCUGUUCUUCCUUAAGCAUUUGUUUACCAUCAUUAGAUACGUCAUUGUUAUGACAUUGAUAAGUAUGGGUGAGGCUGGUGAGUAGAUUUUAGUUUAUUUGUUUUGGAAGCUGGCUAUGCUAUUGUUAGCAUUUUCCUUUUCGGGGUGUAUGCCUGAGUGUGUGCUAUGUUCUCAUAUGGAGGAUCUGGAAUAUGGCAGUGAGGCCCGUGGAGGCAAGAGAAGACAUACGUAGAGGUUAGAAGCCAUUAGAACUACAACAAAUGGAUGGCAAAGUGCACCUGAGAUUGGGCGUGCAAGCCUCACAGAGUCUCCCAUGUGAUCCGAGAUCUUUCUAGAAGGAUUUUUCUAGAAGAUCCCUCCUACUCAGACCCCUAGUCCAAAUUGCUGCAAAAUUUUGCACAUACAGAAUGAGAGGUUUGAGGUUAAAAUGUCACAUCAAGGCACUGCAGUGGAACAGCCCAAGGGUCCACAGCCACUUGUGUAGCAGACCCCCAGGACCUGCCCAGAAGGGAGAGUGGGCUUUAUCCAGUCUUCUCUCCUCAUGUGCUGUCUGCUCUCUGGCCUUCAGAAGGCACACAGUAAAUGUUGCUGAAGAAAAAAACUGUUGGAAACAUUAACAGUGAGAGUUAUCACUUGAUACCACAUGUAUGCAUGUGGAAUAACUUGGUACGUGGGCAUUUGGGCGUUUUAUCGCAUGCAUUCUUUCCUCUACGAUAAGCACAGAACCAUAAUCAAUAUCCAUUACUGUUUGAAUAUAUUAAAGAUAAAUAUAUACAUGUAGUUUUCAAAUUGUGUUUGUGCCUAUAAGGAAUCAGUGCUACAUUUAAAAAUGAGAAUGAAUUAAUCUUAUCACCACUGAGAACAAACUACUGUAGAAUUUAGCAUUCACACCAAAAGCACAGCUGUUUUUAUCGGGGAAUGACAUGAAAGACACCUUUGUUUCUCGGAGCACAUUUGAAGCACAAUUGGUGAUUGAGAAACAUGCGAGGGGGUCAUAGUUAUAACUUGUUAUCCUAACGUUUGGAAAGGUUGUGAAAUGGAACUGGGGUUUUGUAGUUAAACCUGGGAAUAUGGAAAGCCCCUACUUUACGCAGAUUCAGUUCCAUCAUCAAAAGGGAUAUCAAGGUGAACAAAAUAGCCUAUUACAGUGAAAAGGAAAAAACAAAAUCCCAGACUUGGUUAGCCAGACAGUCUUGGAUCCCUGCCAUGGCUCUGAUGCCAACCAACAGAACAACCUUGGGCAAGUCACUUAACCUCUUGAGUCUGUUUCCUUGCCUUUUACAUGGGGAAAAUAACACAUGCCUGCUUGUCUGGUAGUGGUAAGAAAUAGGGGUGGUGGCUGACACAUGCAGCCACUCCUCCAUACCUGCCUCCAAAGGACGUACAAUCCUAUUGAGAAGAUGCCAGGACCAUGCUCCACUGUCCAUGAUCCAAGACAGAGCUCAUUCAUUCCUGCUCUAGAAUCCUCUCCCCUCGGCCCCACCUUGGCCAGGUGUUGAGAAGGAAGUGCCGCAUGCGGGUACCUGUCCAGGCCAUGGUAGGCUGUGGAAGGCUCCAGUCAGCAUGAGAUGAGCUCUGUUGCUCUUCUUCUCCUUCUGCACCACUUUUUGUGUUGAGUCCCAAGGUUUUGUCUACAGUCUCAUUUCCUUUCCUUUGUCCUUCUUGACGCCUUCAUUUUUCUCUCCCAAGUACUACCAUAAGUUGGAGUGUGGGUUCUAAUUCACCCAGGUAUAAGGUCCUAUGAAGGUAUGGGAUGACUUGCUCGUGGUUUUUCUCUUCCACAGCAAGUUUUCUCUUCUGUAGUAAGAUUUCCCACACAGGUAAAAAGCUCAGUUAAUAUUUGGUGAAAAAAAUUGUAGAAUCGAAGCUCUCACCUACAAGAUGCUGGAGAUAUACCUUUGUGCAGCUCAUGUCCUGGACUUUGUGCUCACCUUAUCCAUGCCAUGUGGACUGGUGCCCUGGGAGUGCCCAAGGGAUGAGGGUAGGAAACUGACAGAGCCAUGGUGUCAUGGUGUCUUCUACAUGGCAGGAAGCUGUAUGUGAGCCUUUUCUCAAGGGGUCAGAGAAGAGCAAAGAGGAGCCUUUCACUCAUCAGAGUAGAACUCUUCCAGGAAGGAAAAUGGUACCAACAGUCAUGUGCUCAAGACCUUGUUAUGCCAGUGUCUCCAGACUGGCUGGGGACAGGGUGAGACAGAGACUUUUCACAGUGUCCACUUGUGUUCCUUUUGAAUUUUCAAGAAGAUAAAGGGAAUGAAUGCUUUUAAAAACCACAUUUCAUACAGGGGAGUUCACAAGGAGACUCAUGGAAGCACAAGCAGGCUUUGGUGGAGCCACCUAGAAUAGAGCAGGUCUCCUUUGCACAUGCAUGGUAGAGUGACUUCUGCAUCAUGUCAAGCUGGAAAGUUUGGUUUGGGUCUUGGAGGGUCAUUGGUCCCCUGUAUGCUACUGUACUGAAAGCCACUGGUCCUGGCCAACCUCCUGACACCUCAUUGGUGGCUGCCUCAAUGUGGGUUUGUCCUGGAGGGCUCCAUUCCAAUGCCAUUCCUGACACUGCAUACCUGGAGCCUGAAUCCUGAGACAGACACCAUCCAGCAACUCAGGUUCUUAUCCUCAGCUCCAUUUGCAGACAACUUGCCUAGUUUCUGGUGGGGCCGUGGGAGCUAACAGUAUCUUCUUUAGAAGUUAAAUUAAAGGUGGGUGGGUGGGUAUGCGAACUCCAUGCUGCCCCUGGGCUUGGAAUACUGAAUACUGACCGUUUUUUCCUCUGUCAGUUCCCACUGAAUAUGGUCAUGUAAAACCUGAUAUGAUUGGGGAAACCUGAGCCAGGAAUCACUUAUAUUUUCCUCAAUCUGUUUUAUGAAUGGCUUGAAUUGAAAGGAAAGGCACUAAAUGGUACACAGACAUGUCUACACUUUGCUGUAGGCCUGCUCCAGAACCAGAUAAACGUGUCAAGUGCGGGAAGCACCGUAAGCUAGACUUGGCUUUGGGGCUGACAUCCUGCCUAGGUGGCUGGAACGUUAGGGAGAUGCCUUUUCAUAGCUCACCUAUGAGUUUAAAGCAAAAUAAGGCAGGAAGUCAGAGAGAGACCAAUUCAUACCCUCUUGAUUAUUUACUCAACAUGAUGCUGAAAGACAUUUGUGUUUUUUGGAAGUUCUAUCCCCUGGCAGUGAAAUAAAACCUCCUUUCUGGGCUAGAAAGAUUGAUGUCCAACUACAUUAAAGGAGUGUGUGAGUAAAAGGAAACUCUGUAUUCUGCAAGUGAACACAAGAACUUCCACUGUGCUUAUGUAACCGUGGUGCAAAGAGCAUUAUCAGACCCGAAGUUUGCAAUGCAAAAAUAAAAUUGUUCUAAGAAGACUGAAACACAGAAAUAUUACCACUUACCAUGGUUUCAAAACUGUUAGAUGAGGAGGGUUGUUGUUUAUUAGUCGUAAGAUUAGAAAGAAGAUAGGAGAAUGAAAGGGUUAUCUUUGAACUGCACUGAAGGGUGAUUCAACCUUGUUUUUGUGUUUCUCCUCUGAAGUACACCAAUUAUUGACACCCUAUGGGAAAGGCACGUCAAAUCAGGGCUUAUAUGUUCAGUUUCUUCUCAAUGAAUUUUGCUUGUUUGCAAAGCUUUCUAUGGUUCCAUUUAUAGUCCAGGAAGUAAUUUCUUAAUUUUUUUCUUUUAAUCUAUUUUAAUUAAUUCUUAAUUCUUUUAGUCUACACUAGACCAGUGUUCUCAAACUCCGCUGCAUAUUAGAAUCACCUGGGGAGUCUUAAAAAAAAUCCCGUCGUCCCAGCUGCACCCCAGAACACUUAAAUUGUAAUCUCUGGGGGUGGACUCAGGCAUGGUACUUUUCCAAGGUGAUUCUGACUGCGGCCAAGAUUGAGAAGCACAGUACCAGAGCAGCACCUGUCAAACAAGAUGUGUACAUAGCCCUCCGGGGAAGUGUGUGUGGGGGUGGAGGGGGGUUCUGGUUAAAAUGCAGGUUCUUUAUCAGCAGCUCUGGGAUGGGGCCUGAUGUCCUCCAUUUCUAACAAGCUCCUGGGCAGUGCCAACGCUGCUGGUCUGUAGACCACACUUUGAGUAGCAGGAUCCUAGACUGGAGAAGAGAAUUUAGAGCUAGACGCUCGAUUGUAGACAUAGGGAUUAUAAAAUGCCAUGCAGGUUCUCACUUAUCCCUCCCUUGUAAACAUACAGCAAAGCCACCAGAGUCCAUUGUCUUCCUUUUCCUGUAAAGUUUUUUCUCUUUUAUUAUUUGCAAACCCUAAAGGAAAAGCCCCUCUUUCUCAGACAUUGCCUGAUGGUUUUCUUGACCUUGAGAAAAUCAGUCAUCCCCAAGUUGGAGACUGGGGUCCUUCAUCCUUGAGUGGGUGGCCGGGUGCCGCAGUCUAAAGGGUGGCGACCUGUGUUCUCUGCUCUGGCGGCUCACCCGGUUGUGGGAACAUUCCCCAGGCAGCUCAGGGAACCCUGGUCUCAUGCUUCGUCUGGUAGGGAAGAGAGAUUUUAGUAAACACUGCGUGGGAAGAGGAAUGAAAUGGGCAGAGAAUAAGGUUAAGGAAUGGGUGUGUGAAACGCCAGGUUGAGCGAGGCCAGGGUGCCUGGGAGCAGCAUUCCAACACCCACCUCUCUAACAGCUGGUGGGAGAAGGCGCUCACCUGCCCAGGGAGGCAAGUGGUGCAGAGUACAUGUGCCCAGGAGGGCUGACAGGGCCCUGGCCACACUGGCAUAGCUCUGGGUGCACAGCCUGUCUGUACCUCACUCUGGGGCCUGGAUGUAGAAUGAACCAGCAGCUCCUGCCAGUGCCUCCCAUUCUGGGCACUCCAGGACAGGUCUCCGUGCCCCGUCCUGUCUUCUAGGCCAGGAAAGAUCGUCUUACUCUGUGCCCUUCAUGCCCUCUCAACUCCUAGAAAGGUCUGAGUCAAGGCCAAGACUCCUAAGUUAAUUUACCUUGAUUCUUUGACCAUCCUUUGGACCAAGGCCAUUUUACGACUGGGUUGGACUUUCUCAACAAGGCCCUCUCUGUAGAAUGGGUGGAUUCUGUAGAACUGCUACCCAAGACUGACCUAUGAAACAGACGUAUGUUAAGUGGCUCAAACUCCAUUUUCCUGUGUUGCUGCUCUCUAGUCAAGAAUAUGGUGGUUCCUGCUGUCCAACUGCAUCAGAUCUGAUCUGCCCCCUCAUCCCCCUCCACCGCCACCCAUGCCUCUGGACCUUUCCACACACACUCAGCAUUGGGGAACUGACUCUACGUUUGCUGUGCCUUUCAGGAUCCCAUGUUCAAGCUCACCUUCUCCAAGAAGCUUUCUCAGAUUAAAUUAGCUGCAUUUAAACAAUCAUCCCUUUAUUCUUUGCUCAUUCAGCACCUAAGCAUACCAUUCAUAAUAGACAUUAUGUUUUAAUUUCUAUGAGAUUCCAUCCUCCUCAAAGGGCUCUCCCAUCCACCAUCUCGCUUUUGAUAGAAUCCUAAUUUUAAUAUGAAAGGAACUUUGGCAAUAUGGGGGCAACUCAUUUUACAGAGGAGUAAACUGAGACCCAGGCAAGGGAGCAGUUUGGCCAAAGUCAUCAAGUGUGGGUAUCCUUGCCACCGCUAGGACCCAGGCUGCCAACUCAGUGUUUGGUGUUGCCAUCCUUCCAGCCCUGGAACACCCCUGCAGCCUCCAGUGCACACUCUUGCAGCAGGCCAGCGUGGCAGGAGGCCUUUGCAUAUCCUAUCAGGGAUGGUUAACACUAAGCCGAGGGCGUUACAGAGAAAUAAUAAAUCCAGCAAUGAUUGUCAUGUGAAGGAGUUCCAUGGAACUUUACUGCAGGAUACACAAAGGAGAUCUGAAUAAAUGAAAAAGCAUAGCAUGUUUGUGACUAGGAAAACUUUAAUAUUUAAAUGGGCCAGUUACCUCUAAAUUAAUUUAUAAUGUCAUCUCCAAAAGAUUUGGAUAUGGGGGAGACAACUUGUAAAUGAUUCUAAAGUUCAUCUGGAAAAAAAUAAAGAUGAGAAUAUCUGUUUUUUAAAAAAUGAGGGAGAAUGACAAAUUUGUACUACCAGAUAUUAAACCAUAUUACAAGGUUACAGUAAAUAAAAUGGUUUGGUACUGGUCUAGAAAUAGACGGAACCUCAAUGGAACUAAAUAGAAAGACCACAAAAUAAGUAUUUAGUGUAUGAUAAAGAUAACAUUUCAAAUCAAUAGGGAAAUGAUGAACUAUUCAAUAAAUGGUGUUAGGAAAAUUGGCUGGCUAUUUGGAAAAUAAUAAAGAACACACUAAACACUAAGAUAAAUUAUAGAUGGUUUAGAAUUAAAUGUAAACAAUAAAAUAGAAGGAAAUGUAUGUAAAUAUUUAUAUAAUCUUAAGGAAGAGAAGGCCUCUAAUCAUAAUGCUGAGGUGACUUUUGCAUAAACAAAAUGAAGACACAAAUAACAAAUUAUUUACUAUAUAUAUAUAUAUAAAACAUGAUACAGAGAUCAUUAUUUUAGAGUUCUUACAAAUAAACAGGAAAGAACAUAUCAGUAGAAAAAUGGGCAAAAGUUAUAAAUAGCUAAUUAACCAAAGUUGAAAUACAAAUGCUAGUAAUCAUAGGAAAAAACAUUUGACAUAAGUAAUCAAGAAAAUGCAAAUUAAUGAGAUUCCCAUAUACCUCCAUGAAUUGGCAAAGAGGAAAAUGAAAGAUAAUAUCCAGUGUUGGGAAGGAUAAAAGAAACAUUUAUCUCCUCCUUAGGGGAGUGUAAAUUGUUACAAAUGUCCUGGAAUGCAGUUUGACAAUCUGUCUUAGAAGUCUCAGAAAUGAGCAUUCGUUUGUCACACUAAUUCUGCUCCCAGGAAAAUAAUCAUAAAUGUUCAUGAACAGACAUCUAUGUAGAAGGAUGUUCAGUUCUAUAUUAUUCACAAGAGUGAGAUUGGGAAGCUGUCACAAUGUCCAACAAGAGGAGACUGGUUAACGAAAUCUGUCAGUGGAAAACUUCAACCGUUGAAGAUUGCCUUGUACUGUAGUUCUUACUGAGUUGGGGAAAUGUUCCUGAUUGUAUCACUUUAUUUCCUGAUGGGGAGUGAGUCGGGGCACAGAAUAAAGACAAAGGUUACACUCCAAAGUGCUAACAGGUUAUCUAGGAGUGAUGGGCUUACAAGUGACUUAGGUUUAUCUUUCUUUGUGGUUUUCUGUUCUCCCAAGUUUAUGCCUGGAACAUGUGUUGCUUUUGCAAUUUCAAAGUUAUUAAAACAAGAAAAAAAGAGAGAGAAGGUGCAGUUGUAAGAACCUGGGUGGGAUUUACUCAGAUGUCUUUGAGAGACUGCUUAGGAGCUUGUGACUGGGGUCUGGCAACACUGAGAGAACACCCUAGAGGGACCCAAACAAGGACCAAAGGAGGUGAAAUGUCCUGCCCUUGUUUCCUGGGUCCUUCUUCCCAUAAGGACUGGGGUGGAAUAGAUCUGAAUGUUCAUUGUUUCACCAUAUUGGUCUAGAGAGGGCAUUUUUGCUAUGUUGUCUGGAGGAAAAUAUAGACUUUCUUCAUUUUUAGGAAGUAUCCCAUAGAUAGGUACAUGCAGAAAAGAUCCACUCCAAUGGGAGUAGAAAGCAAUGACUUCCUGACUUGGGAAGCUAGGAAAAAUAUAUUCCAUACACAUGAAUUAAGAGACUUACUAUGUGAGCUUUUGCCUUUCACCUCCAUCACCUUGACACCUGGGAGAGUAGAAGAUCCUAAGAGUUCUCAGUUCCAGGAGGAGGCAAUAUGGUCAUGAAUUGUGACUUCCUCAUGAAAGGACAGUGUUGAACCUGAUGCAGCUAAUUAGUAGGUAUCUGGUUUUUCUUUCCAUCCAUCUGAGACAUGAUGGAGAAUGGUCAACACAGACAGCCACCUAAGUGGAGUUGUUGCUUAUACAAACAUCAUAUAUAACUAUGACCAUGGCCUAUAAAGAUUCCAGCAAGAGAUGGACUGUAGCAUGUAAAGACAGGAAAGUAAGUUUAUGUUUGGCAAAAGAGCCACCCAGCUGAUCAGUAUGUCCUUAAAAGGAAAUAUGGGGGAAAGAAAGAUAAAGAUUCAAAUAAAACUGUAAAGCUAGAUACUAUAGAGAGGGUGGCAGGUAUAGUUUGAAAACUAAGAAGCACUCAGCCCUUUGAAUUGAUUCUCAGUUACAAUAUUGAAUUUACUUUUAAAUUUCAUAAAACAAUAAAGGAGGCUAUAAAGUUAUGUUUAUCAAUUUAGGAAGGGAGAGCUUGAGUUAAGAAAGAACAGUAAUGAUGCAGAACAUAGCGUUACUAUAAACAAUGCUUAAAACCUCAGGUAGCUAUAGAUUUAGAGCUCACUUUAGGGGCAGUAAAUGGACUAAAAUUUCAAAUUUAAUGCCCUGUGGCCUUAUUAGGGAAAUGUUUCUGAGAAGCUGAAAUAAAUGGAUGAGUCCAGUGAAUUGACUGGGUGAUUCCAAGAGGCUGUGUGUUUCGAGACUUGGUGGGAAGGAACGUAAUUGGAAUAAGUCAUUGGAAGAAUAUGCCUUGUUCUGGAGUACAUCAGCUAGAGUUCUUUGGUUGCAGCAAUCAAUUCUGGCUAACUGGAACAAAAGCAACCUUGUUGGAAGGCUGUUGGAAGCCCACAAAACCAACGAGAAAGCUGGAGAAUUGUACUUGGAAGUGAACAGUAACCGAGGUGGCUCCAGGGAGCCAUGAAUUGGAAUCACAGAACCCAUCUCAGAACAGGAACUGUGCUCAACAUGCCGCAGUUGUAAGGCAUGAACUCCACCUGUAUUAUCUCUUUGUCUUCUCAAGAUUCAAAUUCUAGGGGGAGAGGAUAUAAGGGAGGGUAGGGCAUGUGAUUGUGGCCAUAAACCAGUGUAAACCCACAGUGGAAAAGGUAACUCCACAAAAGAAAAUCUCGGUGCUGUUAGGAAGUGGAGAAAUGUUUGCCUGGCAGCCCCAAGUUGUUGAGCACAAGCUCAACAGAGACAUGGAUGUUCGAUUCAAGAUAUAACAGGAGGGAAUAUCAAAAGUGAUAUCAUCAUGGAUCAAGUCUAUGGAUAGGUGGUUUAUCCAAGUAAUUAAUACUGUUUGGGUCCUGAUUACAAAGUAGUCAUAAGGACAGAAUGUGGUUUGACAGCAAACUCCAGAUUGGUACGUUUUCUGGAAAUCUCAGCAUGGCACAAAUUGGACACCUGAAAAAUUCUUUACAUACCUGUUGGUAGUGCGAUUACUCAGAAGGGUGAGAAGACAACAGGGACACCUGCUUCUUUGAAUGGAGUCUUGACCAGAAAGGAUAACAGGUUGGUAUCUGUAUGUGUCAUUUUAGUUUGUAACAGUGAAAGAAGGAAACAUUAGGCAUAGUUCAACUUCAGGAAAGCCAAGUCUACAAAAAUUCAGAGAAAAACCGGAUGUGAUCCCCUGUGUAGGAUUCGAAAAAGGAAUAUGGUGUGGGGAGGUUGGGAGGUUCAUAAUGGUUCCAAGCUUAUAGUCAGAGAGUGCAUGGGAAAGACAAGGAAAGCACAUUUAAAGAAGCCCCAAGUGCAUCUGCAGGGGGAGUUCUCUGGUGUACCGUUGAAUAAGUUGUGCAGAAAUCAAAGAAAGACAUGUCCCAAGAGGUAUGACAAAGAACAGUACGGAAUGGCACUCUGUUGAGUGAACAACCAGGUUGAUGCCUCCUGGGUGGCAUGUGUUAUGCUGGGUUCUGGCAGGUGUUUACGAGAAUGUCAGGAAAACUGAAGGACAGAAGAAACUGAGGAUUGCCCACGUGGCUACUGGCCACACACAAAAAGGGAUUUUUAAAGUUAUAUUUGGGAACAGACAGGUAAGAAAGGAAGGAAUAAGUCCAUUCUUUGGUGCAGAUAGAAUAAGGUUAGUGCAGAACCAGGAAAAGACUACCACUGAGUAUAAUCUUGUUUUCAUGUUUUCUGUCAAGGAGAAGGGUCUUCAAACUAGACAAGAUAAAACAAACACAGUAAAUAAGAAACAGAAGGGCAAAUGAGGAUCCUCGUAAAAGACCACUUAAUGCCAUAAAUGAAUUUAUUUUCAAAGGUGCAGAUGAAUUAUACCUUAGUAUACUGAGGAAACUUGCCCUAAAAAUUGUUCCAUCCAUGUCGGUAAUUUUUAAGAAAUAGUAGUAAAUGUGAAAACUGCUCAGAGGGUAGAAAAAGACUAACAUGAUUCUGACUUUAAAUAAGUAAAAACACCUGAAGAUUCUUUAGACUGUAGAUGAUAAUACUUGGUGAUACUCCAAGAAAACUCUAGACCAAAUUAUUUCAGGAGGUAGAAAAUGAAUACUUGGGUGCCUGAAUGAAUCCACCAAAAAUGAGUCACAGCAGACUAACUUUAUUUCUUUUUUAGUGUUAUAGGACUGAUGAGGGAAAUACUGCCAGGGUAAUGCUUUCGAGAUAAUACAAUUUGAUUUCAACAAGGCACAUGACUAAAUCAAAGUAUUCAGUAGGACAGAGUGGAGAAAUGUGGGUUGAAAGGGUAGCUGGUCAGUAAGAUGGAAUAAUGACAGUAACCUCCUUAAAUGAAUAGAUCCCCAGGCAUACCCUACAUGGGUUCAUCUGUGAGCUUUUGGGAAGGACAGGAAGUUUUUAACGAGAGCAUCCCCAGAAAAUGUUUGCUGAUGUGUUCAUGUUGACCUGGGAGAGGACCUAUAGGGUAUGCCAACAGGAUUUGUCUUCCUUUCCUGUUGAGAAUUUUAUGAGCAAAUUGAAAAAAGACAUAUAAGGCAAAUUUAUCAAAUUUAGAGGUGACACAAAGCCCAGAAUGAUAGCUUAAGUGUUGGAUGAUAGAAUAAAAACUCAAAGGGGGGGAAAAAAGUAUUGAGCUAGAACGAUGGAUCAAAGCCAAGCAACCAGAUUAAAUUGAACAGUGAUACACUUAACAGUAUUUAGGUUAAGAAGAUUGAAUUAAUUAGGAAGGAUAUGAGGCCAAGUUUGACAGCAGUUUGUGUGGAGAAAAGCUAGAGGCUGUAGCUGACCACAAACUUAUAUAAUGAAAUAGCAUGCCAGGACUGCUAGCAAAAUUGACAGAGAUUUAAGUUAUGUUAGUGUAGAAAUCAGGUCAUGGGAGAUGGACUUCCUCUUGUACUCUGUUCCCAUAGCCCAGAGCUUUAAAGUAUGGGCUCUGGGGUUACACUGCCUGUUUUUGGAUUUCCCUUCUGUGUUUUCCUAGUUCUAUGCUUUUGGGCAAGGCCCUAAACCUCUCUAAACUAUAUUCCUCAGCUGUGAAAUGGGUAGAAUAAUAGAACUAUGUCACAGGGCUUUUAUAAGAAUUAACUUAGGUAGGACAUGUAAAACUCUUAGCACAGAACCCAACAUCUAAAGCAUUUCGUAAAUGUUCUUGUUAUAGUUGUUAUUGUGGUUGUCGUUACUCUGUAGUGGACUAUUUUAAGAAAGACGCUAAAAAAAUGACAGAAUCUGUUGUGAGGUAAAAAGUUUACAGACUUUCUCACUUAAAGAGUAUUUAUAGGAACUUGGAGUGUAUAUUAGUUAUUUAUUGCCGUGUGACAAAUUACCCCAAAAUUUAGCAGCUUAAAUCAAUAAAUGUUUAUUUCACAUAGGUUCUGAGAGCCAGGAUUCAGAAGCAGCUUAGCUGAGAGGUUCUGGUUCAGGGUAUCCUGUAGAGGUUGCCGUCAAGAUGUCAACUGGGGCUGCACUGGCAUCUGAAGGCUUGACUGGCGGCCAGAUAACUUUUGGCUGGAGGCCUCAGUUUCUUGCCACAUGGGCCUCUCCAUUGAGUGUCCUGUUGACCUGGCAACUAGCUUCCCCCAGGUGAACAAUCGAAGAGAGAAGGAGAGCAAGACAGAAGUUAUAGUCCUUCUAUGACCUAGCCUCUGCUGUCACAUACCAGGCAUAUUCUGUCGCUCACAAAACCAACCCUUUAGACAGUGUGGAAGGGGACUUCACAAGGCCAUGGCUACCGGGAUAUCAGCAGAUCGUUUCUCUGUCAUUGAGCAAUAUGACUGUACAAGAAACUCGGAAGAAUUUCUGCCAGUGAAUAUGAGGAUGGGACCCAUCCUGCCCCAGUGAAGCCACCAUCUCUCCAGAAGAUGAAGGGAUUGUCAUUAGUCGAAUUACACCAACAGCCCAACCUUGGAAGGCCAGGAUAUGGGGGUGAUGGUGGGCCAUGAGGCAAUGGGCUGAGGAGGUCCAUCUGGAUCCUAUCAACACCUCAGGAAAGGACACCAGUCAGGGCCACAGUGAGUGAUGAACUUGGCCAGCUCUUAUCCUGGCUUGGCAUGGGUGCCUGGCAAAUGAGGGAAGAAAAAAAACAACCUUCUGGCCCAAAGAUAAAACCCUCUGCUGUACUUGUUCUGUCUCCUGCUUCUACCAAACAAAUUCCUCAGAUAUUUAAAGCCAGUAUAUUUAAACUUUCCCUUUUCUAUCUUUAUCUGGGCCCAAAAUAUUGGACAGAGCCACACAGUCUCUGAUGGAACCUACUUUAACUCCCCAUCAUACUCUACAAACUAGAUCUUUGUCUGUAAAGAUGAUGAUGCAAGAAAUUACUGGCCACAUGAAAAGAUUCAUUAUACAAGAAGAAUGUUCUUGAGGAAUUUCAAUGACUGUCUCUACUUCUAAGAAAUGAGAGAGGAUGGGUAAUCUCUAAUUUGUGUUUUCUAGACUGAAGCUGACAUUGCAUCUAUGAAACCACAGCAGGGAACUAUAAGUAAAACACAGCUGCAAGGAGACGAAAAAAUAUGGCAACCAAUUGUGAAUUCACAAUGGACCAAUGAGCAACAGACUGGAUAUUACAGUAAAUCAAAUCAGUGGAAUUAACAACAACAAAAAAAGAAUACCUGGGAAAUAUCUCCCAAAACUCAAAAGGAUACAAAGAUAAAAUCAAUGAGGGAAAAAAAUGAUGAGAAUAAAGAAGUCUGGGAAACAGAACUAAAUGAUCCAAUAUUGAGAUAACAAUAAUUCCAAAAGAAAAAAAUAAAGCAAACUAAGGUCGGCAUAAUCAUCAAAGAAAUAAUUAAAGAGAGCUUUCUUAAGCUGAAAAA